AUCCUCUUUUAAUAACAGGUAUUCUUGGCUCUAAGUUGAAAGUAUAUACUAAGCAUACGUUCAAAACAAGCCAUGCUAAUUGAAAAUGUUUCAUUUUUGGUUAACUUCAAUUGGUCGCAUAUGUACAGUUUGGUGUUCGUUGAAAACUGAAUAUAAUUUUCGAAGUUUAUUCGUACUCUUAUGAGUAAUACUAUUCUCGUAUAUGUUUUUUAACUUUAUCACCGCAUUACUCAAGUAGGUACCUCUUGAACAAGCACUGUAUUCACCGAACCCACCCAUGCAAGUUGAGUAUUUUUCAAUGAACAUAAUAUUUCAGAAUUUAUAGAGGGCAGCAUAAAUAAAUUGAUAGAAGCUUACUGACAAGCUACGUUAAUCGAAUUCAAUUAUUAUAAUCAUCAUAGUAUGUUAUUUUGGAUAAUAAAAUUUAUUUUACAAUAAAAAUUGAGUUAUAUCUAAAGUCAGUUAACUUACAAACCGAGAUUUUAUUUAAACAUAUUCAUUCUUGUUUUAAAUAUUACUUUAGAUUAAAAUAGGAAAACUAUAGUAGUUACAUCACUAUUUUUAAAUUUAUUAUAAAUAAUUAUCAUAAGAAAUAUUUCUGUUAGUUAAUAUGUAAUAGGAAAAGAAUGAUUAAUAGAUAAUUUGUAUAUCAAUUUAUUAUAUUCCCAAUCUGUAAACAUACCGAAGAUAUUUGGUAUAACCAACAUAAGGUGUUUUGAUUGACAAAUUAAAGCUAGAAAAGGGACUGAAUAAUAUUUACAGUGAAAAAUUCAUUGUACAUUCUUCGAAAAUGCACUAUUUCAAAUACAGAAGAUUUACUACGGCAUAUAGCGUAGUAAGAAAUAUGGCUACUGUUAAAAGGUUUUAUCGAAAAACAAAUAUUUUAUCGAGUGAUGGAAAAUUUGAAAUUUCACUUGAUCAAAGGAAACUCAAAACACCAAAGGGUAAAAUAUUCGAAGUAGACAACAAACCACUCGCAUUAGCAGUAGCUGCAGAAUGGGAUGCUCAGAAAGAAAUUAUUGAUAAAAGCAAUAUGCACUUGACAUCUCUAUGCAAUACAGUAAUAGAUAAUCCCCAAAAUCAUACGAAACUUGAUAUGGUAAAUUAUGUUGUUAAUUGUUUGGAAAUGGAUACAUUAUUAUUUCAGUCGAAUGAGAAUGACGAGUUAUAUAAGUUACAAAUUGAGAAAUGGGACCCAUUAGUACAAUGGUUUUGUGACAAUUAUGGGGUGGAUAUAAUAAAAACUACAAGUAUAGAGGCUCCUACAGUGCCUAUAGAGACUAAAGCAACAUUACUAAAAUACUUAAUGUCUUACAAUUUUAGCGCUGUUCAUGGUUUCAUGUAUGGAGUAGAUGCAAUAAAAUCUGUAAUUCUCACAUUAGCUGCGGUGGAAAGAGUGCUCAGUAUAGAAGAAGCAGUAAAACUAACACUUUUAGAAGAAGAUUUCCAAACUUCCCAUUGGGGAUCUGUAGAAUGGCAUCAUGACCACAACAAAUAUGAUUUACAAGCUCGUUUGGCUGCAGCAAUUUUAUUCGUACAUUUGAACUCUUGUUCGGUAACAAGUCAGCCGAAAAAUGAUUAUGGAAACACCAGUUAAUGUACAAAAUGUUUGUACUGUGAGUAUAUUAGAAUAUAAUGAAAUAGUAACAAUAUUUCAUUAAUUUGAAGAAUGACAAGAAGAUGAAUUGAUAGAUGAUAAUACUUCUACUGGUAUGGAACAAUCGGAACCCAUCCACUCUUUUGUACAAAUACAACUGAAAUAAUGAAUAUAAUGUUCAACGUAGGCGUUGAAUGCUGAAGACUGUAUAUUAAGUUUAAAACGGGACUGACCUAUACGUAGCUCCAUGGUUUAAACAUACAGCACCAUUUUUACAUGAAUGGCGAAUACAUUCAUUCCGAUGGCAUUCACCGACACCACGACCGGUUGCUGGACUAGAGCUAGUUAUUGGAUAAAUCGCGCUAUUUGUGCGUAUUUCAAUGUCGAAUAUGCAACCAGAGAAUCCAGUGUGCAGCGGCAAAUCAUGGGGGAUAUUUACCAGAUUCAUUAUAUUAUAAUUUACAACAACUUCAAUAAAGAAAAAUAUGAUAUUAAUAGAACGAACCAAUGUAAAGAAUCGGUGAUACGUCCAAACGAGUCAUGGAUCCAACUACGCGUCCAGUUACAUUACCUAUACCAUCUACAGCAAGCCAUGCAUCUCGACCUCUUCUUCCAACUCGAACCGUGUGCGCUAUAUAACUUUUACUUGCUGUAGCUGUUAUAGUGGUAGCGCUAAGGGGAACACUCGUAAAUAUUCUACGUACACCUAUAAAAAGUGGUAACAUUAUAAAACGAAAUAAAAUUUAAUAUCGAAACAUUA